UACGUAGGGGGCUAGCGUUGUCCGGAAUCAUUGGGCGUAAAGCGCGUGUAGGCGGCCCGGUAAGUCCGCUGUGAAAGUCGGGGGCUCAACCCUCGGAUGCCGGUGGAUACUGUCGGGCUCGAGUACGGAAGAGGCGAGUGGAAUUCCUGGUGUAGCGGUGAAAUGCGCAGAUAUCAGGAAGAACACCCGUGGCUAAGGCGGCCUACUGGGCCGGACCUGACGCUGAGACGCGAAGGCGUGGGGAGCGAACGGG
rnacentral:rRNA from 1 species